rnacentral:ncRNA from 1 species
AGGGUUUAAAUUUAACAUUUAAUUAAAAGGGAAGAACGGUGAGAAUCCGUCGCUGUCCCGCAACUGUGAUUCGGAGCAACUCACAAUAAACCACUAUUGCCGAAAAUGGGAAGGUGUGAGGAGCGUUGAUGAUAAGCCAGGAGACCUGCCUUUUCAAG